GACGAACGCUGGCGGCGUGCCUAACACAUGCAAGUCGAACGGAAAGGCCCUGCUUUUGUGGGGUGCUCGAGUGGCGAACGGGUGAGUAACACGGGAGUAACCUGCCCUUGACUUUGGGAUAACUUCAGGAAACUGGGGCUAAUACCGGAUAGGAGCUCCUGCUGCAUGGUGGGGGUUGGAAAGUUUCGGCGGUUGGGGAUGGACUCGCGGCUUAUCAGCUUGUUGGUGGGGUAGUGGCUUACCAAGGCUUUGACGGGUAGCCGGCCUGAGAGGGUGACCGGCCACAUUGGGACUGAGAUACGGCCCAGACUCCUACGGGAGGCAGCAGUGGGGAAUAUUGCACAAUGGGCGGAAGCCUGAUGCAGCCACGCCGCGUGCGGGAUGACGGCCUUCUGGGUGUAAACCGCUUUCGCUUGUGACGAAGCGUGAGUGACGGUAAUGGGUAAAGAAGCACCGGCUAACUACGUG
rnacentral:rRNA from 1 species